GACUAGAAUUAUCCAGCAAUGUACGUCAGUUGCUGUUGAAGGAUGAAUCCAUUAAAGUGGAAACAGCUUCUACUCAAGACAUUGUUGAUUUUUCUCCUGUUAACAGAUGUCUGCACAUUCACUUUGUUCUGGGAAGAAGAGAUCAUUUUAUUGAUGAUUAUAGAAAUGAAAGGAGACAGCAGCUCAGAUUGGCCAUUAAGCCUCCAACAAAGGUUGAUGACACACAAGAAUUCAAGCGCUAUUUCUUCCAAAUCAUC